UUGGAGCAGGAGGAAGGAAGGACUGAAAGGAAAAGAGACAGGUUAGAGGGAAAGAGGCUUGGGAAGGAAACAGCAGAAAAGAAACCGCUCAUUACACCUACAGAGAGGCAAGUAACAGUGGCGGUGAGGACGGUGGGAGACAAGACUAUGAAAGCCAAAAAAUACGAAUAGAGCGAAAGAGGAAAAAAUGUCAAGAACAACAUCCAUCCGGAAAAAUGAAGAGAAUGAAAGUUUUAUGCUGCAGAACCGUUCUGUGCUUUUCCGGCACAAAAUUCUCUCGCUGUUUUUAAGCCCGUUUGCAUUUGCCAGCCGUAGACAUUAAGAGGCAUGUUCAGCGUUGCCAGCAGCAUCUUCUCUUCCUUCUCCUCUUCCUCUUCAUCUUCCUCCUCCUCCUCCUUUUCCUCCUCCUCAUUCUCCUCCCAUCAGCAAGAAGACAAACCGAGGACAGUCUUGAAAUACCGAAAUUUCCUCUUUGGGAUUUGCCAGCGCCGCGUUGCGCCAAGACUGUCGGAAUAAAGGACACUGACUAUUGUAUUAUCAUUAUUUUAUUAAUUGGUCAGUGGGAAGAUUACAGAUGAGGAAAUGGGACGCCUGUCACCCUUCCUGCGCAAAGAUUGAAAAAUGAAGCUGGUUUGGGGGAAUCUCUAAAAUGAAACAAAAUAAAUACGCUUUUUAAAGACGGAAAGCUGCACAAGCCCUCCACGUCUCUACGUAGUGCACUUUUAUUUGUAUUUUUCUUUUUGAAAAAAAAAAUUUUUUUUUGAGUAGUGGGGGGGGGGAGGUGAUUGGGUGGCUGACUGGCUACUGGAAGCUACUUCCUUUCCUUUUGGAGAUGAUUGUGCUAUUAUUCUUUGCCCUGCUCUGGAUGGUGGAAGGAGUCUUUUGCCAGCUACACUACACGGUACAGGAGGAGCAAGAGCAUGGCACUUUCGUAGGAAAUAUCGCUGAAGAUCUGGGCUUGGACAUUACAAAACUUUCGGCUCGCAGGUUUCAGACGGUGCCCAACUCUCGGACCCCUUACUUGGACCUCAACCUGGAAACCGGGGUGCUGUACGUGAACGAGAAGAUCGACCGCGAGCAAAUCUGCAAGCAGAGUCCCUCCUGCGUCCUGCACCUGGAGGUCUUCCUGGAGAACCCCCUGGAGCUGUUCCGGGUGGAGAUAGAAGUGCUGGACAUUAAUGACAAUCCCCCCUCUUUCCCGGAGCCGGACUUGACGGUGGAAAUCUCUGAAAGCGCCACGCCGGGCACCCGCUUCCCCUUGGAGAGCGCAUUCGACCCAGACGUGGGCACCAACUCCUUGCGAGACUACGAGAUUACCCCCAACAGCUACUUCUCCCUGGACGUGCAGACCCAAGGGGAUGGCAAUCGAUUUGCCGAGCUGGUGCUGGAGAAGCCACUGGACCGAGAGCAGCAAGCGGUGCACCGCUACGUGCUGACCGCGGUGGACGGUGGAGGAGGGGGAGGAGGAGAAGGUGGAGGAGGCGGCGCGGGAGUGGGCCUGCCCCCCCAGCAGCAGCGCACGGGCACGGCCCUACUCACCAUACGAGUGCUGGACUCCAAUGACAAUGUGCCUGCUUUCGACCAACCCGUCUACACUGUGUCCCUACCAGAGAACUCGCCCCCGGGCACGCUCGUGAUCCAGCUCAACGCCACAGACCCGGACGAGGGCCAGAACGGUGAGGUUGUGUACUCCUUCAGCAGCCACAUUUCACCCCGGGCGCGGGAGCUCUUCGGACUCUCGCCGCGCACCGGCCGGCUGGAGGUGAGCGGCGAGCUGGACUAUGAAGAGAGCCCGGUUUACCAAGUGUAUGUGCAAGCCAAGGACCUGGGCCCCAACGCCGUGCCUGCGCACUGCAAGGUACUGGUGCGAGUGCUGGAUGCUAACGACAACGCGCCGGAGAUCAGCUUCAGCACCGUGAAGGAGGCGGUGAGCGAGGGCGCGGCGCCCGGCACGGUGGUGGCCCUGUUCAGCGUCACCGACCGCGAUUCAGAGGAGAAUGGGCAGGUACAGUGCGAGCUGCUGGGGGACGUGCCGUUCCGCCUCAAGUCUUCCUUCAAGAAUUACUACACCAUCGUGACCGAGGCCCCCCUGGACCGAGAGGCGGGGGACUCCUACACCCUGACCGUGGUGGCCCGGGACCGGGGCGAACCGGCACUCUCCACUAGUAAGUCGAUCCAGGUACGCGUGUCGGAUGUGAACGACAACGCGCCGCGCUUCAGCCAGCCGGUCUAUGAUGUGUAUGUGACCGAGAACAACGUGCCGGGCGCCUACAUCUACGCGGUGAGCGCCACAGACCGCGAUGAGGGCGCCAACGCCCAGCUAGCCUACUCUAUCUUGGAAUGCCAGAUCCAGGGCAUGAGCGUCUUCACCUACGUGUCCAUCAAUUCUGAGAACGGCUACUUGUACGCCCUGCGUUCUUUCGACUACGAGCAGCUGAAAGACUUCAGCUUUCAGGUAGAAGCCCGGGACGCCGGCAGCCCCCAGGCUCUGGCGGGCAACGCCACCGUCAACAUCCUCAUAGUGGAUCAGAAUGACAACGCCCCUGCUAUCGUGGCGCCUCUACCGGGGCGCAACGGUACACCGUCGCGCGAGGUGCUGCCCCGCUCGGCAGAGCCGGGUUACCUGCUCACCCGUGUGGCCGCGGUGGACGCGGACGACGGUGAGAACGCUCGGCUCACCUAUAGCAUCGUGCGGGGCAACGAAAUGAACCUCUUCCGCAUGGACUGGCGCACCGGGGAGCUCCGCACAGCGCGCCGGGUGCCGACCAAGCGCGACCCCCAGCGGCCUUAUGAGCUGGUGAUCGAGGUGCGCGACCACGGGCAGCCGCCCCUGUCCUCCACGGCCACCCUGGUGGUUCAGCUGGUGGAUGGCGCCGUGGAGCCCCAGGGCGGGGGCGGGGGCGGAGGAGGAGGGUCAGGGGAGCAUCAGCGCCCCAGCCGCUCUGGCAGCGGGGAAACCUCGCUAGACCUCACCCUCAUCCUCAUCAUCGCACUGGGCUCGGUGUCUUUCAUCUUCCUGCUGGCCAUGAUCGUGUUGGCAGUGCGUUGCCAAAAAGAGAAGAAACUUAAUAUCUACACGUGUCUGGCCAGCGAUUGCUGCCUCUGCUGCUGCUGCUGCGGCGGUGGGGGAUCGACCUGCUGCGGCCGCCAAGCCCGGGCGCGCAAGAAGAAACUCAGCAAGUCGGACAUCAUGCUAGUGCAGAGCUCCAAUGUACCCAGUAACCCGGCCCAGGUGCCGGUGGAGGAGUCUGGGGCCUUUGGCUCCCACCACCACAGCCAGAAUUACUGCUACCAGGUCUGCCUGACCCCGGAGUCCGCCAAGACCGACCUGAUGUUCCUUAAGCCCUGCAGCCCUUCGCGAAGUACGGACACUGAGCACAACCCCUGCGGGGCCAUCGUCACUGGAUACACCGACCAGCAGCCCGACAUCAUCUCAAACGGAAGCAUUUUGUCCAACGAGACUAAACACCAGCGAGCAGAGCUCAGCUAUCUAGUUGACAGACCUCGCCGAGUUAACAGUUCUGCAUUCCAGGAAGCCGACAUAGUAAGCUCUAAGGACAGUGGUCAUGGAGACAGUGAACAGGGAGAUAGUGAUCAUGAUGCCACCAACAGAGGCCAGUCAGCUGGCAUGGAUCUCUUCUCCAACUGCACUGAGGAAUGUAAAGCACUGGGCCACUCAGAUCGGUGCUGGAUGCCUUCUUUUGUCCCUUCUGAUGGACGCCAGGCUGCCGAUUAUCGCAGCAAUCUCCAUGUUCCCGGCAUGGACUCUGUUCCAGACACAGAGGUGUUUGAAACUCCAGAAGCCCAGCCUGGGGCAGAGAGGUCUUUCUCCACCUUCGGCAAAGAGAAGGCCCUUCACAGCACGCUGGAGAGAAAGGAGCUGGAUGGACUGCUGUCUAAUACCCGAGCGCCUUACAAACCACCAUAUUUGAAAACCCAAACAAGAGAAAGACUGUGACUACUAGAAAUCAAUGUAGCACUAAAAUAUUUUGACACUACGUGGGUCUGGCAUGCGGCACGGAAAAGGAUAUGCUAGUCAUUUCUACAGGACUUACCUGGAGCGGCAUGAUUUGCACAAAGUCGACCAACAAAAGCAUCAACUUUUCAACUUCAUUAUCUUGGCCGUCCAGUUAGUUGUGUGUAACUGAGUAUUAGAUUUCCAGCGGAGUCAUCGUGGCCAAUUAUAGGACCUAAUUGCUCUCAGCAGGCCUGAGAAAUGAGUUGAAAUGUGCCGAACUGUAGAAACUUUAGAGGCAACUGAUUCUGCCUCUCCGAUCAGUGUGUGCCUGUUUACAGCACUAUAUAUCUUUCUCUCUCCAAAUGUCACUGAGCCCUUUAGAUGUUUAUAUUCACCACAACAAGCCAGUCAUAAAGAUAAAGGAAACUUGUGCAUUAUAAAUGCAAUAUCACUGUUUUAAACUUGACUGUUUUAUAUUAUUUUUGUGUGAUCAAGUGUUCCCCAAACUAUUCCAACUUUACAAAGAAAUUGUGAUUAUGUUCUUUUCACUUGUGGGUUAUAAAAAAUGUAUUCUGAAGACCCACAAAAUAUCAAAGACAUUCUGUAGUUUAUACACCGUGUUGCAAAGUGUUUACUGUACUAUUUCAAAGCUUCUAAAUAAAUAUAAAAUAUAUAUAUAUAUUAUAUUAUAUAAUUUUCCUAAAAUGUGGUACAAGUCAGUUGGUUUUUAAAUGGAUUCACAGUCCACAUCAUACAAUAAAGUAAAAGGUAAUUCAGGGUCUGAAAGAUAAUCUUACUAAGAAAAACAAAAUCAUUAAUAGUUUCCUCACAGUUUUUAUAUCUUAUUCAACCCUGUUUUUCCUUGUUUAAAAGAAAAUGAAGCUCUAAGCUACAAAGUUUUGUCAAGAACUCAUACUGAAUUUACAAUGCCAAAGAUGUAGGUGUCAAUAUUAUCAGACAGAACACUGAAUCUAUACUCUCAAAAUUUCUAACAAUCUAUAUGAUUCUGAUUCUAUUUCUAUGGCUUUGAAUUUAGAAUCAUUUAAAGAUAUUAUGAGGAAUUUAUAAAUUAAUCUGUAUUCAUUGUUAGAAAAAAACUGGAUGUCUGUACAUUUUGUGGUGUAAAAUAUGUAAUUGAAGAUUACUAUUUUAGGAAGUCCUCGGUCAUAUAACUCACACAGAAUUUUAUUUUACAUAGUUUUAUAUAGUUUUGUGACUCAAUUACACAUGACUAUAAAAUUUAUUUAUUGCUCUAUAUGAAUAUAUAGAGACAUAAAUAUUCGAACUGGUAAAGAAUAUCUAAGAUAUAAAAAACCUCUAAAUUUAAAACAAAUUAAAUAAAUUUCAAGAUAGAAACAUGGCACAUUAUUGUUUCAGUAUUGUGUGUGAAAAUUUUAUAGCUUAAAUGUAGUCAGUGUUUUAUUAAUGAAAAAAUUCUUCAUGAGUCAGCCUUGAAAAGUUAAGCUUGCCUUUUUAGUUAAAUGUCAACAAGGUUAAUUAUUCAGUAAGAUGGAUUUUCCGUUCUUUUACAUAUUUUUUUUAAUGUUGUUUAUUGCUUGUUGAAACACAAUUAAGACAGGGAAAAAUCAGAGAAUGUGAGUUAAGAAUAAUAAUCCAAGCAAAAAACAAAAUUGUCACAGCUCCCCUCUAAAAAAGCCUUUAACAUUAUAUCAAAAUGUUUGCCCAGUCCAAAUUACAAGCCCAUUUUUAAAUAGUUCCCUUAAUUUUUAACUGAUCUUGUGUUCAAUGAUAGUUUGAGCUGCACUGUUAUUAAAAAAUAAACAAAAAACAUAACACUUAAAUAUUCUCCAUCUAGUUUUACGUAAUUUAAGUUGAAAAAUUCUUAUAUUUAAUAUGAAAAUGUAUACAUAUAUUCAUAGACCCUUGAUGUAUAUGUUUAGAGUGAUAUCUUGGUAUCACUUAUUUUACUGUUAUCAAGUUAGAUAUUAAUAUGUCAUAAUCCUGAUUAGUUAAUGUAUCAAAAUAAAAUGUGUAAUGUUGCAGUCUUUUGGGGACCCUUUAAAAAUAUAUAAAGCCAAUACAAAAAGCACAUAUAUUCACUAAGUGAAGCAGUUACAUUUUCUCAAACCUUUGAUGUUACUCCAUUAAUAUUUUGAAUGAUAGACUAUUUUAGAAAGGAAAUGUUUAUAUAUAAUUUAACUGGGAAAAAAAGUCUAUUUGUUAUAAUUGUUUUUUAAGAAACAGAAUGAUUUUCUCGUUCAGUCACUCUGCUUUAAUCAAAACCUUUCAUGCCUCAUUCUACAAUCAUGGGGGAAAAUAUACAUCCAUAUUCCUUAUUAGUAGUAUUAUUAUUCCAAUGCAUGUAGCAUUGAAAAUAAGAUUAUACUCACUUUACAAAUAAUUGCUCUAUUCAUUCAUUUGAUUAAAAAAACUUUCUUUAACCCUUUAUGUAAUUGUAUAUAAUCUCCCUUGAGCCAACUUUUUAUAAUAUAUGUUAGUGUAUUAGUCGAUUUUAAAUAUAUCAUAGUAACUAGUUAUACUAGUUUGCAUUUUAGUUCUUAAAUCAUAUUAUCAAUUUACAAAAAAAUAAAAAACAACAAAAUUUUACCUAAUUUGGGAGGCAAAUAGAAUUAUUUAAUCUUACAAUACUAAAUUAUUAGGUCAUUAAUCAAUUAUCUAUUGCAUCCAGAAUAAACCAGAAGUUACAACAGAGUAAGGAUAUGAUUUUAGUAAAUUGUCUAAAAUGUUACCUACCAAUGACAAGCACUGUAAAAUGGAAACUGCCAGUUUCAAAGGUUUGAACCAGUAACAAAGGUUUCCAAAGAAACAUUUACUAGAUUAGUAUGUCAAGGAAUUUUAGAAUAGGCUUUCAAUUUAAUCCGGUCAUCCUAAUAUCCUAUCUUCCAUAAUUCCUAUACACAUCAAAGAAAAAUAAUAUCCACCUUAUUAGACAGUAUUUUAUAAGUAAAUUAUUUCAGGAAAGAAUAGUCAUGACAUUUACUCCUUGUUAACAUGGUUAGUUUUAGAGCAGUAAAAGUAAAAAUAAAUUUCCUGUGGAAACAGUGUGCUAAAUGUUUCAAAGGUAUGUCAAAUGACAAUUUUUAGAAAUAUUUCAUUCACAUGCAAAAUGCUAAUUUUUAAUUUGUGAACAUAAUUUUGUGAGUUCAUUUUAAAUCAAAUAUUUAAAUAUCACAUCAGAAUUAUUUUGCAGAUAUACAGAUGUCAAUAAUAUGUGUAUCAUCUUUCUCGAGAAAUAUUAAGAAAACGUUUAUUUUAUUUUAUAAAGAUAUUAAAUGCAAUGCCUUUAUCAAACAUUGCAAAUUAAAAACUAGAGUAGUUUUAAAUAUUUUAAUUACACAUUCUGUUUUAUUUCUAAGGAGUGUAUAAUUUGCCAUCAGAUGUCCUGUGUAAUAUAGAAGCCAUCCUGCUCUUCUAGUGAUGGAAAAAAAAUCUUCAAAAUUCUCAACAUAAACUUUAAUAACUGUGCAUUAAUUCUACUAUUGACCUUCCAAAAAUUAUUUAUUGGAGUUCAGUUCAUCAUUAAUAUAAUUAUUCAAACAGAAUGUGGCGAAUGUUAAACUGGAUAAAAAGAAGUAUUUAUGUUACUGAUUGAUAAGAGUGCUGUUAUUUGUCAUCACUUAUGAUUCUCACCCCUCAUAUUUCCAUGUGUGCUAUUAACACCCAAGGAACUCAAAAAUACUUAAAUAUUGGUAUACUUGAUGAUUUUUCUGAAAAUCAUAUAUUUUUCAUAUUACAAUUUCUUAGGUCCUUUAUCUUUUUCAUCUCUAAUUUUGUAGUGGUAAAGGCUUUGCACUUAACCUCUUUUUUAUGUUCCUUUUUAACAAGGAAAAACAGAAAAUGACAAAAUUCCAUAUUUUUUACACCAUGGUGUAGUAACAUUAUUUUAUAUAUUGUUAGUACUUCAAAUAAUAUCCCUCUGCUAAGUCAAAAAAAAAAAAAAUCCUUAUACAGUAAUUUGUGAAACUGUUCAGUAGAGCAUUUGUUUUUCUUCAGAAACUUGGCAUAGGUUUAGAUGAUAGCAUUCUGUAAGAAUGCUGGUAAAUGGGUGCCGCCAGAGUAUUGCAGGCAAUAAUAUGACAAAAAUUCUAAUACCUUUAGUAUGCAUGCAUGUAUUUCUGAUCGAUGUUUUUUUAAGUAUUUGUAAAAUUAGAAAAAUGACUUUUAUUUCUAGAAAACUUGUCACAUGCUCAGUUUGAAGUUUUUGCACUCCAGAUGUUUUUGAGUUGCAUAAGAACAUUGCAUUCAUCAUGCAAAAUAUUAAAUUUUCAAAUGAGACUCAAAAAUUUCUGAGUGAUAAAACUCAGACCUCUAAUGCAUCCAUACAUCCUUGAGCUGAAAGCAAGCAGGGAAUUUCAGCUGUAAACACAUUUUUGAGACAGUUAUCUGUGAGUGAAAACAGGGUAUUAUAACAAAAGAUGAGUUUCAAUCUUAACUAUAGUGUUUGUUACUGUGAAUGCUAUAAUAAUACAUAAGUAAAAUGAGUGUAAAUGUAAUAUAUUAUUUUAUACUGCUGUAUACAUAUGAAAUAAAUAAAACUAGGAAACACA